rnacentral:misc_RNA from 1 species
GUAGGUGAACCUGCGGAAGGAUCAUUAACGAGAGAGGGGCUACGUGCUCCGGGGGCUUCGGCCCCGCCUCUUCACCCUGUGCGUACCUACCUUUGUUGCUUUGGCGGGCCUCGGGUCCUCCCGACGCCGGCCUGGGGGCAACCCCGGGCUCGCGCGUGCCCGCCGAAGGUCAUCUUAUAACCCUGUCAUCAAUGCAGUCUGAGCAUCAAUUCAAUAACUAAAACUUUCAACAACGGAUCUCUUGGUUCUG